UCUCUCUCUCUCUCUCUCUCUCUCUCUCUAUAUCUAUAUAUAUAUAUAUAUAUAUAUAUUAUUUAUUAUUUAUUUUUACUUUUUUUCAGACACAAAAAAGUUUACACAUGGUGUUGGUGGGGUGAGUUGGCCCUGUGUUAAAAAAUAGAUCUGUAUGGUGGCAAAGAUAAUGCAUUGGAGGUAAUGGAGUUGCACUGCAGUUAAUCUAUUUGGUGGUGGUGGUGAGGUGUUGGCAACAUUUUGAGUACUGUGCGAUGGCAGUAGUGUUAUAUUGUAGUUGACGAGUUUUGUGAUUAACCGUGUUAUACGUAACCAAAAUUAUAGUCUGUGACCAUACUUGUGUUAUAUGUGACUAACUGUGACCAGAUCGUCUGUGACCAAGUGAAUGUGUCACUGACAUAUGUUGUCGAUGACUAAUUGUGAUCAAAUUUGUAUUCAUUGUGACUAUCUGUGACCAAUUCAAUAUAUACUGUGACAAUUUGUGAUCAAGUCACAAUCGAUCACAGUUAAUACAGAAUUAGUCACAACUUCCACAAUAAAUACAUAAUUGACCUCAAAGAGUCACCAUAAAUAAAUCUUCACACACCACAGCCGAGUACCACAAUCCACUACCAAUCACUACCACCUUCACCUCCAACUUUACUACAUUUACUGACAUUUGUUAUCUGUGACUAAUUGUGACAAAUUUUAUCUUCAGUGUGACUAUCUGUGACCAUAUCAGUCUAAUUUGUGACUCUAUGUAACCAAAUCAUAUAUAGUCAUAGUUAUUAUAGAUCUAACACAGACAGUCACAAUGAAGAUAGACUUUGGUCAUACUCGAUUUUCCUUGUCACUGUCAUCACUCCCAACAACAUCAAUCAAAUGCGCACCACCAUCACUUUCAACAAAUCCUAACCAUCACCACUGGCAUCACUGCACCGGACCACACUACUACCAAUACAACCUAAUAGCAUUGCAAACAAUGCCAGCACCAUGACCAAGACCACCACCGCCAAAUUCAACAAAAAUCGCCCCAACCACAAUAUCUCCCUCCACUGCCACCAACAAAAAUCAGUCGCCAUCAUAUCCAACAAAACCACCGCCUCAAUACCACUCCCACCGCACCAUUACCACAGUUUGAAAAGAUCUCAUGCUCGAUUGCAUGAACAAAAAACACCAAAAAUUAUGACCAACCACCAUCAAAAUCGACGAAAUUCCAUAUCAUUGGAUAGCCCUCACUCCCCUCUACACAUAACCCAACACUAGCCCUCACGCCACCAAAUUUGGAUAGAAUCAAUGGCCAAAAUCACCUUCCAUGCCCUUUCCAUAAUACCAGUUGACUAUACUCAUUAGGGCAACUAACGCGGAGUCCCUUGUGGGUCACCGCUUCGAUCGCAUGAUUCAUCAGCUUUGAAAGGCGUUAGCCAUCUCCCAACGCAUCGUCCCCUGUGGGUCAGCACACCGAUGGUAGAUGAGCUCUUCACCUAGCUUUACAAACCUCGGCGCAACUGACGCGGAGUCUCUUGUGGGUCACCGCCUCGGUCGCACAACUCAUCAGCUUUGAAAGGCAUUAGCCAUCUCCCAACGCGUCAUCCCCUGUGGGUCAACGCACUGGUGGCAAAUGAGCUCUUCACCUAACUUUACAAGCCUCGGCGCAACUGACGCGGAGUCCUCUGUUGAUCACCGCCUUGAUCGCACGUUUUCUCAGCUUCACAAGGCUUUAGUCAUCUCCUAACGCGUCGUCUCCUGUAGGUCAGCGCACGAUUGGAAGAUAAGCUCUCCGCCCAGCUUCAUAAGCUUCGAUGCCACUGACGCAGGGUCCCCUGUGGGUCACUGCCUCGGUCUCACGUUCCCUUAAUCUUUAUGAAGUGCCUUCCCCAAAUGCGUUGUCCCAUUUAGGUCGAAACAUCGAUGGCAAAUGUGUUAUUCUCCCUGCAGAAUCACCUCAUACGACUCAGCGAAACAUGAAAGCCCGUCACUAAACAACGAAUGAUCAACCCAGAGGACGGCCCGCCCACAUCACCUCGAUUAUCACUUGCCUCAACCAACAGGUGUUUAGCACAUCUGCUCACUUCACCCUUUUACUCUAGCACCUCAUCAGAAUCCACAGUACUUACUCCAAGGCCGACAUACAUAGUUGGGAAAACAAGUCCACCCAUGAUAUGAAUAUUCAUGCCUGAACUUGGGAGGACCACUGUUACGUCCCUAACCAAGCCACUUCCACUUCGGCACUAAAACCACUUCGACAGAAAGGCACAUCAUUCUCCAAAGCUCUACGUGUCCACCCGAAGUGGUUCCAAAGAGAUACCAACCACUUCGAAACAAAGUCACAUCACUCUCCGAAGCUCCACGCGUCCACCCGAAGUGGUUCCGGAGUGAUGCCAAUUCCUAUCAACCUCAACAUGACGCACUGCAAGGUGAAUAGAUCCAAUGAAGCAACCGAAGUGUCCCUCAACGCCGAAGUGUUGAAGGGCCUGAGGCACUCCCUUAACAGAUCCCUCCGUCGCCACUGUCAGAAAGAUAUCUGUCAGGAUCUUGACGUGACGUCUCCAUAGAUCUAGUUGACAUGACACGUCAACUUUAUGUUAACUCAACUCAGAAGAACUAAUUGCCCACCCACACUAGAUGCGGCUGAGUGACGCUAUGAGCAGACGCCUCACACCGUCAGAUGCAUACACGUGUCCCACAUCCAACGGUGUUCUACAUCUAUAAAUAAUCAAGCAAGAGACAAAGGUAAUGAAAGUUCUUAUAACUUAGCUCUCCAUACUAAGAAACAUAUAUUCUCCUCCCCACUCUCUUGCACCACUGGAGCACUGUUCCAAUCACCCAACGCUGACUUAACCGUCGGAGUGUAUGCGACCGCCACUACCACUACUGGUCCCGAUCGUGUGCUUCUGACCGUGCGUUGUUGUUCACAGGGAGGAUUACGUGGAGUAGCUACCCGUUGGCCACGUGGAGGGUCCAAAUAUCGAGGUCAACAGAUUACGAAAACAAGAUCAUCAGCAUUUUUAAUGUGCAUUAUUAGCUAACACUUGACAGUAUAACAAACAAGAUGUUUCUUUGUUUUCUUCAUUAGUAUGGUCUAACUAGCUCUUAUAAACCUUGUUACCGAACGUGGUGUUUAGACAAGAUGAUUUCCUAGCUACUAUGAAUCAUGUGACAAAAAUUGAGAAAAUUAGGAUUCUUAUCAUAUCUAGAUGCCAUGUCAUAGCUAAUCUUCUAUAAGCUAUGUUGAAAUCAUCCUCUACUAGAUUCCUUAAUAUCUGUAAAAUGUGUUUUCAAAAGUCCCCAAAGUGUGCUUUUGUAAGUGAAAAAACAUUUCUUAAGUCUCUUGCCCACUUGGCAUUCGCUGGUUGGUUAAUUCCUUUUCACAUGGAUUUAUGUUGGUUGAAGAGUGGGCUGGACAGUUGAUCUAAUUCAACAAUUGUGAUUUAGAUCCAUAUUAUUUUUUACCUUUGGCUGGACAUUUGGACUGGUGGAAGUCUCAUUUUCAUUCUCUUCGUUUUUUUUUUGGUAUCUGACGAUUUUGGGAUUUUCAUGUUCUUUAUCUCUAUAGAUCAGAUUGAUUGGUUAACUUGUCUUGUAUAUUAUAUCUUGGCCUUGUUUGUGGCCUUAGCUCUACUGUAGAUUCCGAUUGUGGUGUUAUUUGUGUAUAUACCACCUUGACCAGAUGUUGUUUUUGAGGUUUUUUGUCCGAUGUUGAACUGUAAAGGGUUAUACUACACUUGUAUUUGGGUAUUGUGUCAAUUAGGCAUAGAUUAUUGUGAGAUCUUUGAAGGGUCGAUGAUCUACUGUUGAGUCGGUGGUCUGAUUGUUGUAAUCCAAACUUUUGUUCUCUCUUGAGAGGUUCUUGCACAUAGUGAUGCACUCUUACCUCUGAGCCCUCAGAGUAGGCGUUUGGCCAAACUGGGUGACCAUUCUUGGGUUGAUACUUUAUUGUUAUCUUUGGUGUUAACACACAUUUUACAAGACCUACUACCAUAAUAUCUUCAUAAUCAUUUAUAAAUUUGUAAAGUGAAGACUAAAUGGUUCAUGCAUUUAACCAGUGGUGUUGAACACCGGUAUCAACAUAUCAUAAGUCCUGUUAAAUAGAUCAUAAUUUUUUGUAUUUAAUUGAAUCUGUAAUUUAAUGUUACUAGUAUUGUCACCUAAACAAGUAUUAAAUACUAGUAGUGCCAUGUCAUGACUGGAUCAACAGGGGCCUUCGAAAAGUGGUGAACCUUACUUCACCAACCGCAAUAAGACUUGGGCCAGCUCAGACCAGUGAGUGAGCUGUUUUUUGCUCUCUUUUCGAACGAGCUAGCCUACGUCAAUUGUCCUUGUUUAAUACAACUAGGCACACCUCUGCCGCUUAGUCUUUUCAUAAUACUAAUUUAACUUUUUGUUUAUGAAAAAUUACAAUAACACUAAUCUAUCUAGUUUGUAACCACUGAAAGAGAAAUUACUCGAGUUUUGUUGAAAGAUGCUCUUUGGGAUUGGAUCAAUUGGAUGGGAAGUUCAAAAUCAUAAUCAAGAAAACUGGCCAUCAAGUAUUUGCAAAUGAGGAUAAUCCAAGAUAUUGAAUGAUCCAAGUUAAAUUUAUUAACUUCAUGCAAGAUUUAGGUUCGGAUCAACCGAAUCAAUACAAAAUACACAAAAGAUUUUAACAUUUUGAAGUAAUAACCCAUUACUGAAGUCAAGGUUCAGGUACAAGUUUACCAAGAACAAGUGUCUUUCAAAUUGACAGAUUAUACAAUGCUAUAAUCAUAGUAGACAAAUCAAGUCCUAACCAAAACGAUACCACCACUCCAAAAACACGUCCAUUCAUGUCAAGACCGAAGAUAUUAACAUUUGGCGAUCAUUCUCAGAUCAGAAAACUUCAAUUUACAAAACCUAUCAACCACUGACAAUGAAUCAACAACUAUAGAAGGUACAAGCAGCUACAAGCUAUACGACAUAUGCAAAGAAACUGCACAUACACCCAUCUCAACUAACAAAUAUUUCCCUAUUUACGCUACAUCCAAUAAGUUUGAAAGACUGUAAAAUUUCUAGCAUCAAUUUCCACCAGAUUAUGCUAUGUCCAAGUUGGAUGAACCAGAUGUAGAAGCCCCGGCUUCACCGGUCACGUUCUUUAAUUUCUGAGAAGGUAACUCACAAUAAGACAGAGAUUCUGGCACAUCACCAAUGUCUAAAUAUUCAGGAAGCUUCUCAGAAAGAUCCACAGGGGAUAGCUGUAAAAGGAAACAGGAUGAUUUAUAUCCGGCUCUAGAAAACAAGGUCUAAUUGAGUUGAAAUCAAUAAACAUAAAUAUGAUUAUCUAUUGCAAGCCCUUAAAGAGCAUAAGCUAACUGAAUAGAAACAGAGUGACAAUGAAAGACAACUCCAUUCAUUAGAGAACCAACAAAUGAACUAAUCUUAUUAACAUUUAAACAUCAACUAGAAUGGACCCAAAAUUUUUCAUCACACGAGCACUGCAAAGGAGGCUAAAUAAUAAGAACUGUGUCAAAUGCUAACAUUUAACAACUCAACAAAUCCUCUCAGAGCGAGAGAGAGAGAGAGAGAGAGAGAGCACUUGAGGUCAGUUCUGCAGCUUCAAAACAUCUGGUUUAAAAUCAUAACUAUAAGCGAAAUUUUAUUCCUAAUCCUCGCUCGAUGAUGGGUUGAGUAUGAAGGCUGGUUUAUGAUAGGCAACAUCAUCAAUAUAUAUAGUCUAAAAGAUUAACAUGUCAUCCUUCUCAUACUUCUGUCGAAAGAGUCCAUUCCUAUUCCUUUCCAGCUCAUAUGUGUCAAUUCACCUAUCGAUCUUUGUCUACUACUCUUUCUCCUGCAAUAUUCUACUAGCCUUGAAUUGAACCAUUGUACGGAAAAUCACAAAACGUAAAGAAAGCCAUCAAUUAUUUUCUGAAUGAAAUCAUCACUCCAAUGCUACUACACCAUCACAUCCCCCUACAGUUUGUUCUCAAUUAUAUUUGCUAGAUAUAAUUACUCUAAGAUCUUCCACUCAAGUUUACCAAGAAUGGACUUUCUGUCAAAAAGUAAACGCACAAUCUGUUCAUUUGAGACAUGGAAUCUGAAUAUCAGAUUACAUUAGAUAUACGCUUAAUAGCUUCAUAAACGUGCCUGUAUUUUUGUAAGAUAUCAGUUCUUUUCCUAACCUAUCCUUCAAAUGAAUGAAGUAUUAAUCUGUCUGAUAUAUGUUUUUAUUAUGUGUGAAGCAUCAUGUAUUAGGAAUGAGGCCUAACCUUCCCUCUUAGCUUUUCUUCUUCUUCUUCUUCUUCUUCCGUCUCCUGAUUCUGCAUCACUACGGCCUUCUUUUCAAGCUUAAGAACCUCGGAGAAUCACUAUGAUCAUCAAAUGACGUUCUCUUUUUACACAAUCCCUAAGUCAUCUUCUUAAGACCUUAACCAAAGAUUAAGAGCACAGCUUUAAUCUACGUUUACAAUCAACUAAACAGACAAAAUUAUAACAAAAGAAACAAAUUAAUGCAACCUAGUUCUCAAACAUCAAAACUUUAGGUAGCUCAGUGGUCAGGCCAUGAGUUUGCUCCCCAAUGGUCACCAGUUCAAAUCUCCUUAGGGUCACUGAUGUGAAUACCCGACUGUAAACUUCAGAGCCCCGUAGGAUUAGUUGAGGUGCACAUAAGCUGACCCGAACACCCAUGAUCAUUAAAAGAAAACACUAGUUCUCAAACAUCAAUUAGAGAUAGCAAUAGGAACAUGUUAUCAACCACACAUAGCAUAAAAGUUGAACAAACAACUCAAAAGGGUGAAUGCCCUUGCAAAUCAGAAAAAAAGGCCACGUGAGAACAUCUAAAAUUGGAAUGCACGAAAACAAGUGAACAACAACCUAAACCUUAUAAAUAUGGGAUUGGCUACAUGAAUUCUUUUUCAACACUAUGAAAAUCUAAAGUAACUAGAUUCCUAGAAACCACCACAACUCAAGUUGUUUUGGUCUUCACCCGUUCUAACAUGUUUGACAAAGACUACAUCUCUUUUGAACGGAGCUUCUUUAGGCCUACUAAGAUGCAUCUCAACUAUCUAAGUCAUCCUACUCUUGAUUGGUCAAAUUUUUGAUUGCAAAGAACAUUUACCUCAAGUUGAUUCAGCAUGUCAACUGCAGACUCCACAUCACAGUUACUUGUUGAAUAGACUUCAGAAAGGGAAUCCUUAGAUAUUCCAGGAAAUUUCAUCUGAAGAUAUGUUAUAUCCAUGUCAAAUUCUUCCUCAAGUGUAAACUUUUCAGCCAUCGUAUUUUGGUUAUGUGAUGAUGAAGCAUAGAGUUCACCACCACAAUGGUCCUUCAGCUUAGAAAGCUCAGCAGUUUGGAGAAUAUCAGUGCAUUGGAUAUAGCUUUGAGAAACAUUUUGGGGCUGAUAAUGUGUUAAUGCAUCCUUCGAUUGAUCUCCGAACCAGACAGCUUCAUUUCCACAAUUUGAUUCUUUUGUAGAAAAUUCAAAAUCUUCCCCUUUAUCAACUGUCCCCCUUUCAGAGAAUGGUAUGUAUGAUGUUGCAUUGGGAUUUAACUUUGAUGUUCCUGGCUUCAUGGCCGCACUGUGUAAAACAAUCGACACUGGAAAACAUAAAAAAGUAUGUCCCUCCAUUAAGAGUAUCUAACAGGUUCUUAUUAAAAAAAAAAAAAAAUCUAUUCAUUUCGCCAGGGCCAACCUUAAAAUAAAUAUAUGGUGUUGAACUUUGAAAACAUUUGCAUGGAAAUGAAUAACUCGAAAUGAAAAUGACUAGUGGCAUACUUAGAUCUUAAGAUUCAAAAGUGUCUGAUAUAUCCCCUGAUUUCAACACCAAAUAAAAGUAGCUGUGGACUAGUUUAACUGUUACAGAUACAUUCAGACCCCUGAUAAGAUAAAUAAACUAAGAAGGUCAAGUCAAGUUGAAAAUCGUGAAUGUUGACUACAGGAUUCCAUAUGCAAUGCUUGGCAAAAUCUGGGAGAUAAACUGAACUUCAACUUGACCCAGAACAUCAUGGUAUAAAUUGACACGCCCUUUUUUGCCUUUCCAAUUAUUUUUAAAAAAAAAAAAUGACCUGUCAAAAAAUUUAUUUUGUAUUUAUCAUGUCUUUGCCUCUACUUGAAUCAGAUAUUCUGAAUACCUCCAAAUAUUUUAAAAUUCGUGAUCAUUUAUUUCUUUUGUUAAAACGAGGCAUAAACAGUAGACAUAUUUUACCUUCUUACGAGGUGGAUAACAUGUAAACAAACCAAAACAAAAAUAAGAAAUUUGUCGGGUGAAUAUUUAUCAAGAGUUAUCAUAUUCAGGCAAAAUUUAUAUUUAGUUAUUUGACAAAUAGACUGCUAAAAUUAUUUUAUUCAUGUGAAUAUAGGUGAUAAAAGAGUUUAGAAUGCGAAUAACAGAUGCAGAUGAAACACAUCAGUAUUCCAAUGGCAAUGGUAUUAAUAACGGUCUGUCAAUUAUGUUAUAGAGUUUCGGUAAACACCUGGGCAUGAUAAAAGACUCAUUGAUAUUAGAAUUCUGUUUACCUAGCUUCCUCAACCCUUUCUCUCAAUAGGAUUAAAAGUAAAAAAUAUGGAAUGAGCUAAUCUUUUAGUGAAGAGAAUUCUUUUCCUCCUCUUCUUUUCUUUUUUCCUUUUUUUAGACACCUGUGGGCAGAGUAUUUAUUAAUAAUAAUGACAAGAAGAGUGCAAAGCUUUGGAGGUGGACAUAAGGCCCAACCCCCAGCUAUUGGAAACGGAAAUAAAUCUUAACCAGGAAAAGCACUGUUAAACAAAGCAUUUUUCCCCUCCACUUCAUUUUCUUCUCUCUCUUUCCCUCUUUGAUCUCAUUCAUUACUUAUACAAGAGUCGCUAUCGUUACAUAUUUCAUAUUUUCACAACCUAUCUUUCAAUAAAGGCCAACGUUCUGACCUCUUAAGAAUGGAUUUAUGAGAUAACUUUUUAAUUUCCCUUAUCCAAUAAGUUUAUCCUAUCCUAAACAACCCCACGAGUCAUUUUAUAAGUUUAUGUUUCUCAUGAGCUCAAGAUUUAUUUAUAUAUUUUUUGGGGGGGGAGAGAGGGUGAGGGUUCUUUGGCUUAAGACUUGUGACUUAAAACUUGAAAGUAGUAACAAAAUAUGAGGCAUCAUAUGACACUGAAUAUAAAGAUUCAAUUAUUCAUUCUAUUACUGUUUUGAUUUUUAUAUGUAUAGACUCAACAUUAUUUAUGAAUAUAUUCGCAAUCACAACAAAUUAUUAAAUUCUGAGUUUCAAGAUCUCAAUGAAAUGGGAACAACUAUGUGAAACUGCAUACAACGGACAAAUUUACCAUUCUACACUAAUCAGAGACCAUGUAUAUAAAUAACUUUCAAUAAAUUAUAUUGAAUUUAUAAAAAAUAUAAAUUUUAUCCCACAAUAAAUUAAUAAAAACAGUACAAUUUAUAAUGAACAGACAGAGAUCAUAACUAACCUUACGGAAACUAUCAUACUAAGGUAUCAGUGUAAACACUAACAUACACAGAGCAACGGAUAUGUAAAUAAAAGUUUUCAUUUUCUGUUUACAAGUUUUGCAAUUAAUACAUUGAGAAAUCUUAUAGAUCCAUACACUUUUUUCUUCAGUAAUCCCACUCAAAAAUCUCUCCCAGACUCGAAAUUAUGUCACAAACGCAAAAUGACACAACAAAUACCUAUACAUACAUACACGUACACAAAUAUUGACACAAGUUAUGUGCGUAAUGCGUGUAAGCACAUCCAAAAUGAAAAUCAAUGCCAAGGAUUACGUGAUCAACUUCAAUAAACCUAAAUUCAGGAGUACGACCGCACGACAUUAUGAAAACGAUCACGAAUUAAUCAAGAAGUAUUGAAGAAUCGAAAAAAAAAUUGAUUCAAUGGAUUCAAAAAAUGAUCUCGAAAUUUCUUUAAUUAUAUUAUAACAGCGAAAGUAAAUUCCGUAUAUUCCUACGAGAAAAAUAUGGACAAACUCACCAGUAAAUUCGGCAAUAAUGGUGCGAAAUUUGUUGGAUGAAAACCCUAGAUUUCGCGAUCGUUUAGACUGAAGAGAUUAUUUUCUGUAUUGGAAGAGAGAUGAACGUGAUGACGCUUUGCAUUAAAUGGAGAGGAGAGUGACGUCAUUCAGUCGUGCUGGACUAGAGCGUAGAUCAGCGUAGGUAUUCUAGCCCACAAUAAAUAGUGAGAUAUAACGCAUACAAAUACAAAUACAGAGCCCACUCUUAAAAUUGCAAUUGUUCUUGUGGUAAUCCGCAGCACAAUUUUUUUAUGUUAAAGGUAGUAGAACAUACUUUUAUCAUGAUUGCUAAAAUUAAUAUUCGUAUUUUAGAUCACACUAGGGAUGUCAACGAGUCGAAUCAAUUCACGAGCCAAAAUUUUAAGCUCAGAUUCGACUCGGAUAAAAUUUUCGAGCUUUUUUUCGAGCCCAAGCUAGCCUGAACAAAAGCUCGGCAAAAAAAUUAUGCUCGACUCAAGCUUUCGGCUCGAGCCUUUCCGAGCCCAGCUCGGCUCAGGUUUUGUUUGAUUUUGAAUUUUUUUAAUUAAAAAGGCAGCAAGUAACAUUUUAGUUGCUGCUUAUUUUUGGCAGCAGCACGCUAUCUUUAAUUUUUUUUUUAAAUUUUUUAAAUAUAUGCUUGGUUCUUUCGAGCCAGUGAACCACACGGGUCAGUUCGGAUUUUGCCAGGCACUUAAAAAUGGGGCUCAAUUUGAGUCUCAGCUCGGUUGUCUCGAGUCUCGAGUCCGACGAGUUUGAACUUUUUUCGAACCGAGCCACGGGCGACCCGAGCCGAUGAGCUCGAUUGUCAUCCCUAGAUCACACAAAGGAGCAGAGGAAAUUGAGAAAUUCACAAUCUUAAGGAAUUCAAGGCUUUAUUUCUGAUUUUCGGUUACAAUGAAGGAGGAGAAACCCUUUUAUAGGAGGAGUCCCUUACAGUUAAUCGACACAAUCACAUGGAUUAGUACAAUAAUUAGAUAAUCGAACAAACAACUUUAAAACAUAUAGAAUUCAAGAACAAUUAUUAAACUAGUGGACAUACAAUUUUUAGCUUCAUUGUUUGAGAGAGAGAAAUAAAUUCUUGGUAAUACUUCUAAAGUUGUGAAGUUCUUUCUGAAAGCUAUGAAACCAUGAUAUCAACAUUAAAACAUAUUACAAUUUGAUGUGUUUGCUAGUAUUACCAAAAUUAAUAGGUUCCACUUUAUCAUCUAUCUAAUCAAAAGUUGUGUGUUCACUAGUAUAAUAAUUGUGCUCAAGUCCUAUAUGUUUUAAAGUUGUUUGUUCGGUUGUCUAAUUAUUGUACUAGCCGAUGUGAUUGUUUCGGUUGAUUGUAGGAGACUCUUCUCCUAUAAAAGGGACUCUACUCCUUCAUUGUAAGGACAUCGAAAAUCAGAAAUAAAACCUUGAGUUCCUUAAGAUCGUGGGUUUCUAAAUUUUCUUUGCUUCUCAGUAGGAUCCAGAAUACUGAUAUUAGUUUUAACAGUCAUGAUGAACCAGUAAUUUGAGCAGUAUCAAAAGUAUGCUCUGAUAUUACCUCUCUUGAAAUUUGGCUAUUCGUUGUGGGUUAGAAUACCUCGAUUGCACUUUUCUCUAGUUAGUUUACAUGUACUGGUAAAACAAAAUAUUAGUAUAAUAAUACCAAUGAGAAAAUGUUGUCCUAAUGAAUCAGUAAUUUGAGCAGUAACAAAAAUAUACUCAACUAUUAUCUCUUUUGAGGAUCCUUAAUAUUAGAAAUUGUGCUACAGAUUAUAAGAUCUACUAAGGAAAUUUGCAAUCUUAAGAGUUAGGCCUUGUAUUCGUAUGUCUCAAAUCUAGCUAUUUGUUAUGGGUUAGAACACCUAAAUUGCAACUAAAACAGUUUUCAGGAAUCGUUCUGAAAUUUUGAAUUUGAAAGGUAAAUACAUAAGCCAUACAUUCACAAUAUAUUGAAAUUUUAGAAUUUAUCCUAUAGUAGUUUAGUCAAUGAAGUUGCACACAAGCAGAUUGUUGAGUAACAACAUCACAAUUUACAAAAUAAGGCAUAACUCAUAUCGAAUUGAAGUGAAACCAAGUCCCGUGGAUAGAUAAUUCGAAGAGAUAUCGAACCCAACUAGUCUCGAUCUCUGUCCAAAAUAAACAAUUCACGAUGUAGUUUUAAAUACACAUCAGAAUGCUGAAUUUUCCAUACAGCCAUCGACCACUCUCCAAGCUAAAAUCAUUUAGUAAAUGUAAUGAUAAAAGAGAAGGAUAAGUACAUAAAUACACUCAGCGAGUUACUUAUAGCCUAUCACAACUGAUCCGGCCAUGAAACCAUAUAAAGAAAUCAAUUACCACAUCUAAAACUGAGAAUUAUUACAUCAUGAACAGAGAUGGAUACAGGGGGGACUGGGCUGGGCUGUAGUCCCCCCCAAGGCCCAAGAAAUUUAUUUUUUUUUAUGCAUUUUUCAUUUUUUUUUUUGAAAAAACAGUUUUUUGUGUGUAAAUUUUUUUCCGGCGUAUUAGUCCGACUUGAAAUUUUGUAGCCCGAUUUUGGAUCCGUCCCUGAUCACGAAGAUGGUACUUCAUGCAAGCAUUGCAAAUUGAACUUGAAGGUUUAAACUAAGUCUGAGGGUUUAACCGAACUGAUACAAGGAGUUCAGAUUGUUAGUUUUUUUCUUUAAAAAAAAAUGAAAAAAGAACAUGACAACAUGUAAGGAACAAAUUGUGGAAUGGAAACUACCUAUAAUGUCUCACAUCUCAAAAAUUUAAUCUGAAACUUGAAAGCUAAAAUACGGAUUUAAAGGAACACCACAGUUGAAAAUUUCAACUUGUCUUGAUAAAGGUUUCCAUCUAGAACGUGUGUUAGGGAAUGUAAAAGACUUCUAUGCCACUUAUGUAUUUAAAUAAUUAAAUCACACUUAUUGAAAGAAUAUUUGCCCUCAUUUUAUGCGCACUAAUACAAUAUUUGGACAAAAAUUAUCUUUAGGGACCAAAUGUGCUAUUUAACGGAAGUUGAAGGAUAAGAGUUCGACAAAAAAAAAUAAGCCCAUAAUUAUGAUAAUAAGCAAGAUUGAAGACUUUUAACGUAACUGAAACAAUUAUAGUGUCAAUAUAGCUGCCCUAAUAAAACAUUUUGAUCAAUGAAAUUUUCCCGUUUAAUUGUUAAGAAGUCAAAUUUUGUAUAAAAAAAGGAUUUUUAUACCUUUAUUUUUUAUUUCGAAAUAUAGAUUUACAUUAAAGUAAGAAGUCACACAGUACGAAUGGAUGCAUAGGAGACUAAAAUAUUUAGUGUUUUUAUUUUUUGGUCGUGGCUUAGGCAAAUAUAUAUUUUGGCAUUUUAAUGUGUUGUGGAUAUAAAUAUUAUUCAAUUAAAUUCAUUAUUCUUUUGACCUUUUGCUACAAUUUAUUGUACCUCUACCAAACGAUAAACUCUUUGAUUUAAACAAUUAAACUAGUCGUAUUAUUUCAAAAGAAGAUGCAGAAAAUUAGUAUUUAGUGUGAACUCGUGGCUGACACUAGGAAUUUCAAUACCUUUGUACAAGAGUAAUGCUUUUGGAAUGGGUGCUUUCAUAUAAUACAAGUCAUAACUUGAUACUAGUACAAAAUAUUAUUUAUAGAGCCUAGAAAAUAAACUAGUAUUAUAGAAGGCACAUCCAAAUCAAAAGUCAAAAGAAUAAUGAAAAGUUUAAAUAGCAAAGUUUUAGUAAGGACUUCCUCCAAUAUUCGACAAGCUGGACUUUACACACACCCUUGUUUGGUAGGGGGCUAAAAUUAAUUUUUUAGUAAAUUUUAAUAAAGAGUAAUACUAUACAUACUGCAGUAAUCUUCUUAUGUAGCAAUUUGUUAUUAAAAGCAUUGACUUGUGAUUUGAAGUAACAAAAUUACAGAAAACGAAUACCCUGUUGAUGUUAACUUAAAUUGAAAUCUAAGUUUCAACCCCUACCAUACAGGGACUUAGACAUGACUGAAUAGGCACAUAAGAUGUUUGUCAAUUGUCGUAUUCAAUCCUCAUUCAAUGUACAACAAAUUGAAUUAAAACUCAAAAACACCUUAUAAGCUUAGUCAAAUAUUUGACAUGCUAGACUUUACCCGUUAGCACAUAAGAUGAUUGUCAGUUGUCAUAUUCACUCAUCAUAUAGAAUACAAAAAAUAAGCCACUACAUCGCAUACUUUAGCAUACCAUGAUAAUUCAAUCAUUUUCUAGCCUUCACUUGAAAAUUAAGAUAGUGAUAAAAUGCACCUCGAUAACAAUUUGGACAUUGGGCAUUAUAUUUGAUAGCAAGAAUUGAAAAAACCAAGCAAAAUAAAGGAGAAGAAAACACCCCUAAAGCAUGAAUAUAUGGCUACAAACCUUGCAACAAAUGUCAUGUACACUUUACAUUUACUAACAACAACAAAUUAAGUUACAUAGGUAAGCAUACAUAAAUCCUUUAUGGCCACUCUAUUUAGCUCAUUACUCGAUCAUAACAACUAGAUCCUUAUUAAUCGGAAGUUAGCCAAGUUUAGCCAAGUGAAUCAACUUCUAUACUUCCGAAAUUGCCCUGCAAAAAAAGCUUUAUAUUUCCCUUCUCAUCCUCCUUUCAUGUACUUUUUCUCUCUUUAAUGGCAAACUACUAAAAAUCUAUUUGAGUAAAAUCAAAUCAUUCAUCUUGAAACAAAGAGAAUUGAAAGAGUUUCAGAGAAAUAUGAAGGGUCUGCACUUCUUAGCUCCAACACAAUUGGAUACAAACACAAGCAAGGAGGUCAGUUUCUUGUAUGCAUUCAAUAAACUCAUCCGCGCAGCCUCCCAAUUAAUUAAUUCCGUCCAGUGAGGAUUAAGAAUGCAAGACUAAUAAGAGAGCUCAAUUAACAUAACCUUAAUGCAAGAUGUGAUAAAGCAUGACGUCCCAGCAGGCAACUUAAUCCAUCAUAACAAAAUUCGACAAAAUCGAUUGUUACAUUGUAAAAAGUACAAUUACGACACAAACUCAUAUCUGGAGUUAAAAUUAUGAAAUUAAAAAAGAACUCAAUAAGCAAAACUGUAUUAGCAUGUCCAUUUAUCAUGAAACAAGAGGCUGGAGUACGAAGAUUAUUUUGCAUGAGCAAAUAAACGAUGAGAUACCCAGCUCCAUCUGCAAUUAUUUCAAAAAACUGCCCUUAACGUGCAGGCUGUUGGUUGUAAUGAUUCUUCUCUUUCUUCUUAGCAGCAGCAAGUUUCGCACUCCUUGCAGCAGCCUCCACGGAAGCAGCUCUUGCAGCAGCAGCCAUUUCUUUACUAGAUUUCUUCUUCUUUGCAGAUGCCGCUUUCUUUAGCCGCUCUUUCAUGUCAACAGCUGAUGCAUCAUCUUCCACCUGUUCAGUUCCAGCACUUUCCUCUUGUCCAUUAGGAACAUUUGAGCUGCCUGGUUGCUCCUGCGGUUCCUUCACCCCUUUCGAAGCUUUAUCCUUCUUUUUCUUCUUCUUUGCACCUUUGGAUUCUGCAGGGACACUAUCUUUCUUUGUUUCACCAUUCAACUCUCCCUCUUUCUUUUCUUUUGUAGCAUCUGCAAGUUUGUAAAGAAACGAGGCAUUUAGCUGGAAAGGUUAUCAUUUAAAAUAUCUCUGACAUUAUAGUCUCACCAAUGAUAGUCAAUUUUUACUAAAAAGUACCACUAGAGAGAAUGAAUUCAUGAAAGUCCACAUUGAUGUCUCAAUAAGAUGUAAAAUUACCCAAGAAACAAUAAAAUCAAGCCACAAGGACCAGACAUGAAGACAGCAGAUCAAAAAGCAUAUUUAUGAAGAAGAAAUCUUAAAAUAAAGCUGAUUCUAGCAAAAGAGAAAUAAAAGGUUUUCAUGAAGACAAGGAGAUACACAAUUACCAGAUGAUUGAUCAAUGACCUUCUCGUUUGGGGUAACACCAAAAUUAGCCAAAAUAGCCUCCAGUUCGGCCAUCUCUUUUUUCUUUCUCUCCUUCUUAGAUAGUUGCCUUUCUGUCUCUUUAGGUGCAGGUGAAGCUUCUGGAGGUUCUAUCGGUUCUAGCUCGGGCUUUUCCUGCACUUGCAAUUCAUGCCCGCGUUCCUCCUCCUCCUCCUCCUCCACAUCAUCAGCUUCAUCAAGAUCAUCUUCACUUUCACUUUCCUGCAAUUCCAACAGACAAUCAUAUUAACUUACCCAAUUUAUCUCAAUUACAUUCAUCACCUAAAAUUCCAUGAAUGAUAUGAAAUCUAGCCAGGAAAUACAUUGAAAACCUGGGAUCUCAGAUUUGCAAAUAAUGUCAUCUUCUGGGAUUUCAUCUUACCAGAGGAAAAAGAUUUAGGCAAUUGGAUAUAGGGCAGUUCUACUAACUACAAAAACCAGUGACAUAAUGAUUGGCUCUAUUGUUGCUCACGAGAGUGAGGCGAUCUCUGUGUAACAUGUUCAAAGAGGGAAAGGUAGACCAACAUAGUUUGUCGCAGUUCCUAAGUAUCUAGUCUGAAAUAUACUUAUAAGUUAGCACUGUUAAUGAACACAAACAUACAGAGAGAGGAAGGGAGAGAGGCGUGGAGUUAGGAAAUAUAAAUUCUGCAAGGAAGGUUAUAAAUCUUACACUAACAAUGUAUUUCUUGGUGCAUUCUUCUUCAGUAAUCUAAAACAAUGAAUUUUUUAUUAUAUUCAAACUUCAGUAACUUCUUUUUGAAUGGUAUAUUAGCCAUUUAAAGGAAAAAAUUUGAUGCUAUUCAUAACAAAUAUUGAAUUGGACAUCAACUUAAGUUAAUUUUAGAAGGGCAUAUAACGCAUUUAAAGAAAAAAUCUCAUUCUAUCAGCCAAAAAAUAAAAUAACUGCUUCCUUACACUUAUUAAGAAAGUGCUAUUUCCAAAAACUGCAUCACACACACACAGAGAACAUUAGAUAAGUAUAUAGAUUAAAACUUGGCUACUAAAUCAUGGUCAGGGAAUAUAAAAUCUAAUGGAAAGGAUAAAUAUUAAAGAGCAAGAAAGAUAAGCCUAAUGAAUGUACCGAUUCACUAUGGGAGCCUUUACCAAAAACAUCAAUUGUAAACAUGUCUUAAUGAUCCAAUUAAGGGGCAAGGUCAAAUCAAUAAUUUCAACGGCUUACAGCUUAAUCAACUAAAUAUCCCAGAAGUAUCAGAUGUAUCAUGAUUGAAGGUAUAAAUUACUUGCCGUAGCACAAAACACUGAGAAUCAUCCAUUCACCUUUCCCAGUUUUUUUUCCCCUCUUUUCUGUUCAACACCGAGAUCGUGUCUCUUUAUAAAACAUGAAAGAGUAUAUACACAACAGAUGGUAGGGGAAGGAUGACAGUGCAUAACAUCAAGUCAUAAUUAUUCAACACACAUUCCUAUUAUCUAUAUAUAAACUGCAUAAAUUUCGUUGCUUAGGCAAAAGAUGGUAAACACAAGUACAAAAGGGUAAGAUAGUGAGCGCAGUUUGGUUUGGGUUGGUUUUGACUCUAACCCGAAACCAAAACCAAUUUAGUCUGUUUGGGUGAAUUUCAACCCCAACCAACCCACUAUAACUCUUCAACAAAACCAAACCAAACUGAUUCAGUUCGGUUAAUCGGUUGGGACUUUUAGUCCAACCUGAAUUUUUUUUAAAAGAAAUUUGUCCGAGUUUUGGGCCCAAUAAAAUUAUAAGAACUAAAAUAAUUAAAUAAUUUUAUAUUACAAAAAUUAUAGACUAACAAAUAAAAUCAAGUUAAAGAGAUAGAUCAAUAGAAACUUAAGAAUUUUGUUACCUUUUUAGGCAUUAUGUAGUCUGACUCCCUGAGUAGGAAAAAACUAAUUACAACAUAAUGAGCUUAUGAAAGAAAAUUUUUAGUACUAUUACUCACCGACAACAUCACCGAUUGGAGAGAAGCGUGAUAUAGUUAUGAGAUUAAGGCUUCUCUUUUGAUUUUUAUUUUUCUUUUAAAAAAAGAUGAACAUGUAAAUAAAUUGGUUGGUUCGGUUAACCAACAGUUUGAGGCUUCAAACCAUGAGUAAACCAACCCACCAUGAUUUUGUUUAAAAGAAAACCAAACCAAAUCAAUUACUUGUGUCAAACCGACCUGAGUCGGUUCAGUUGAUUGGUUUAAUCGGUUUUUCAGUUAUUUUGCCAUAGCUCCUGGCAUAAACACACACAUAAACACCAAAAGCAACACCAAACUAACUGGAUUCGUUCAGAACAAUCAUCCACCGACAAUAUAAAUGUGAUAAAUCCCAAUCAAUAAUUUCGUCAAAUAAAGGGGAAAAAACACACAAAUAAUAUAAACAUCAGUCUAUAUAUUUACCUCAACGUGAUCUGGUUGCAUAGUUUUUUCAGUUUGAUUCAAACCCGAACCUCCCCAUACAGACUGAGGUGGGGCAGUGGUGGCAAAGUAAUCAUCAUCAUCUUCAUCAUCCACAUCAGCCCAUGACUUCACUGUCAAAGGCGCAGGAGCCCAGUAAACCUGAGGCUUCUCCUCAGGUUCUUUCGAUUUCCCAGCCUCAGAUUUCAAACCGCUCUUACUGCUUUUCCUCAAGCCCUUAUCCUUAUCUGACUUCUUCUUCUUCCUAAAAUUAUCAAGCGCCGCAAAAACAUUGUUAUUAGUCAUCUUAAACGAUCCCUCGUCCCUCCGAUUCCCACCUCCAACCAUUUUCUAUUUUUUCUAAUAGGCAAGAAAAUUGAAUAAUUUUUCGAUGCGAUUCGUAUUCCCGGAAUCCGAGAUACUUAACAAUCCAAAAGAAUAAACAAGAGAAAACACAGAACAACGCACAAAAGACACAAAAAUUUCAGACUAAAUCGAUUUAGAACCCAAUUUCUAUAUAUUUGCGGAACGAAUACCAAAUAUCAAUAACCCGCAAUUAUUCACGAAAUUCGAUUUUCUUCGAGUGAUCGACAAAUUAUGAAUCGACAAACACAACUAGAAUUACGAGAAAACUAUGGUUUCUAGAGAGAGAGAGGGAGGAUUUUCAAAAUGCGAGGCUAGGCGAAAAUUCGAAACAAAGAAUCGCUACCGUAUAUUUUCAGAAUGAGUGAGAACGCGAGGAUUCUUCUUAGAGGAGAAGGAAAAAGGGCCACGAGAUCACGUUUAUAUACUUGUGGUUUAUCGAGGAGAGGCGUAUUGUCCGACCCACAAGACAAUCGGACCGAAUAGCCGGUUUAAUUCUAAUUAAAGCAUUAUUGAUUGUAUUUAUUGAUUCUGGUACGUGGUUAUAUAAUUGGAUUAAGCCCAGCCACUGUAGCAACGAGCCCCAUUUGAAAAAAAAUAGCAAGGGGCACAUCGUGUGUAUUCUCACAAGGUCCCCGUACGUCAAGUAGCGUCCUAUAAAAUUAUUUUAUUUAUAGUUAGUCAUUCUCUGUUGGGAUAGCUUUUCCCAUUUACACUAAUUUAGGUAUAUUGAAAAUAGUACACUAGGGAUCGAGUCAAAAUGGAACUGGUCAGCUUUGGUUUUAUUCAUUUACGGAACCAUGCUAGCCAGAAAAAUUUCACAGGAUUUUUCCACAGAUAAACACAUGACAGAAUUUCACUUAGGGUCCGUUUGAUUGCAAAUGUGAAAUUUGGGUGGAAAGAAAAUGAAUUCCAGGGAAUUCAAUUAUCUAGAAAUUGUUUUCCUGGAAAUUGUCAAUUGAUAGUGUUUGAUUGGUAUAAUUUUUCACGUGGAAAAUGUUGAAAUAAAGUGUUUUUUAGUGUUCGUUUGACUUUGUUUUACAUGAAAAUUGUCAAUUUAAGGGAUAUCCACUUCUACCAUUGUUCCUAGAAUUUGUUUUCAUUGCCAAUUUUAAAUAAAAAUUUUCAAUUAAAAGAAUAUUCUCUUUUACAAUUAUUCAUAGAAUUUGUUCCCAUUGUCAAAAAAAAUUUUAAAAAAAUAAAAUAAAUAAAAAAUUGGGUGGAAAAUCCAAAUGAAGGAAAACAAGGUCACGUGAGGGGAGGGGGGAAUUCAAAUUCCAUGGAAAAUUUGGACAAUCAAACACUUUAAAUUGAAUGGACAUUUUCCAUGGAAAAUGGAGUAAUCAAACAUACUCUUAUUUCAAUCAAAUCAAACAAAAAAAUGCACCACACAGAUGCUGGCAACUGAGCAUUUGUAUGGUGCCUGUAAACUGUUUCUUGUACGCAGGAAAUUGUUCUUUUAUCUCUAUACAAUCAUUACGUACAUGUGUCGUAUAGGGAAUUGUUCUUUUAUAUCUAUACAAUCAUUAUGUACACGUGUAAGUUCACUAUUACUGUCGAAUUUUUGUUAAAUCAAAAACUCAUGAUUUAGAUCCGAGAAUGCCGAAUAUGUGUGCAUAAAAUGGUUGUGGCUGUUUCCUUAUAUUUCAAUGUAAAUGUAAUUAAAUGGAAGAUAAAUAAAAUAGUUUAUUUUGUUUACGAUUUCAUAUUACCUUGAGGGCCUAUAGAAGGCUAUAUUUAUGAUGAUCAAAUGUCUCACGUGAUACUUGAUUGUGUUCGAUUUUUACUUUUAAACUCAUUGUCUAGUCCUAAAUAUUUAUUCCGUGAAAUACAUUCUUCAAUAAUUUAUGGUUUGGGCUCCUCAAUCUUCCACAUGAUGUAGAUAUGAACUCUCAACCUUCUAAAAUUUUACCAAUUUUUAUAUUGAUCAAACUUCAAUUUUAACCACAGUUUUUAUCAACUUUGGACCCCAUAUACCAUCAAUUUUUAUCAAAUAAAAGUUUUGUGAAACAAUUAGGCAAUAUUUGUUGGAAAUUAUUUAGGAAAAAUAAUAUUUUGAGUAGUAAAUUUUUUAGAAUCUUCGUUUAAAAGGUACAAAGUUUUAAGCUUACGUGCAAAAUAUUUUAUUGUGUAAAUAUUUGGUUAAAAAUGAAUAUGUAAAAACGAAAUCUUAAACAAAAGGCCAUCAAAUAGUGACUUAGAUUCCAACGCAAUUGAUACCAUCCAUAUGAAGUUAAAAAUCUCAAAUGAUAGUUAGAGGACAAAAUUAUCAAACACUUAAAAACUUUUUUUCAAAUUCAACUGAAAGUUACAUGCAAUUUUAAGGUUUAAAUUGACAAUACACUACUCAAGGAUGAAAAAUCUGUGAAUUCACCUCGUCAUCUUUGCCAGUUAAAACUCCUUUUGUCUUGCUAAUAUGAUGUUAAAUAAGGAUUGAACAGGAUAUAUUUGGAUGUACAAGGAUUGAUAGAGUUUCAAUAUAUUGGGAAUUGAACAAAUUUCGUUCUCUAACUAUGUUAUGAAAGUAGAAGGCAGUAUUACUAGUUAGGAAACUUUAACAUUCUCACACAAUCAAUACGAUCCGUUAUUCGUUUUUUCCAAACUAUAAACAAGUGCAUGAAUCAUCUAGGCACAAAACAAUUAUUUUUCUAUCCAAACCACAAUUCACAAACGUAUAAUAAGUUCAAAAACAAUAAAUAAAAGAAAAAACAACGAAAAAAUGGUAUGAAUGAGAAUCCAAGACUUAUCGAAAAAAAUGAGAGAAAGAGGCAAUUCAAGUAAAAAUUCACAAACAGUUAUUUUUCUAUCCAAACCACAAUUAAUGAGUGUAUAAUAAGGUCAAAAACAACAAAUGAAAGAAAGAAUAACGAAAAAAUGGUUUGAAUGAGAAUUUGAGACUUACUGAAAGAGAAGAGAGAAAAAGACAAUUUAAGUAAAAAUUAGCAGACAAACAGCAAAUGAGACUGACAAUUCGUUCACAAGUGGUAGACAAGCGUCAAAUGUUAGGAAAAUGAGAGUUUAUGUUAGGGCUUCUGAAACCUUGUAUGUAAUUUGCUGACGUAGUUUUAUUGAAUUAUGAUUGGAUUGUUGAAAGUGCCUAUAUAUAUUUUUUUCAUUUUAUAUAAUUUUGGAAUAAUUUUAGUUUAGUUUAAAUAUUAGAUGAGGACGUGUGUCGUGAACUUGUUAAAUCAUAGACCAAUAAUGAUAAAAAUAAUUUACUUUCUAUGAUUAUUUCAAUAGGCUGGUUGUAAUUUGUAUUAUUAAAUUGAUAUUUUUUUUUUUGAAAAGUGAAAAUCGUAAAAUUUUAAGUUAAUAAAAUUAAUGUUUUAUUUAAAAAAUUUUAAAACAGUUCUGUGAGAUUUUGUGCGCUUUUUGAAAAUCUAAAUCUAAACCAAACCAUUUUGAAACUGUUUGGUUUGGUUUGAGGGAAAAAAAUCACAGGUCCACGUGGACUCAAAUCAACGGUUUCAACUCAACAAUUUUGGUUUAAUUUGCAAUUUCGCGAUUUCUUUUUGUAGCCCUAAUAUUUUUCAUAAAAAAUCUGUCAAUCUAACAAGCCAAUUCUACCAAUCUUUGCGUGGGAACUGAGCAGUUUAAAAUCACAUUUUCACCAACCUUCUGUUACCAUUUCCCAUCGUCCACUUCGAAUCUGAACCAAGAAAGUUUGGCCAAAAUGUAAAGAAAAUAGCGAAAAUGGAGGAGGAAUGAUCAUUAGACUCAAAUUAUAAUUAUGGUAAUUGGUAAACGUUACGGGGAUCAAGGAUAUGAUUAUGUUGGUUUGUAUUGGGAGAAAAGUCGAUUUGUGUUGUCGAUUUGUAUGCCUUUGCAAACAAAACUAGAUAAGAGAAUAAUUCAAUAAUUUUUAGAAGAUGUCGAUGGUUUAAUAUAGGCAAUCUCUGGUCAAGUAAAAUUUUCAUUAGAGGAGAUUGGGACGAUGUAUUGAAGGGUACCCCAUCAUAUGAAUUUUUUUUUUUUUUUUUUUUUUUUUUUUUUUUUUUUUUUUUUUUUUUUUUUUUUUUUUGAAGUACUUCGAGAAAUUUGAAUUGUUACGUAGCUCAAUCGCGGACUUAUUUCACAAAAACUUUACCUUGUUACCAAAUAAUGAGGUAAAAUUUAAAUUUCUCGUAAUGCCUAUUGCAUUCUCGAAAGUCUUCUCUGAAUUUUUUGUUGCUUUCAUGUUCAUCUUCUUAAUGUAGAUACCAAGAAUGGAGGCAUGGAGCAUAUAUUAAGCCUUCCUGUGCAAGAUCCUCCAUAUGCUGAGUUUUCUGCUGCUCAUCUAAAUUGGGUUAAAGUAGAAGCGGUUGUCAAGUUGGUGAUGAUAUUGCACUAAUCCCUUUUGCUAGAGUAGAUAAUUUUGUAAAAAGAGAGUCCAGUAAUGCAAAAUGUCAGCUCGCUUCUGAAUUGAUUCGAGAAGGAAGAGACCUGAAGGGGGUUUCAACAAACCAAGGGUCGACGGAUAUCUUGAAUAUACUCUGUAUGCCACUUCUUGUAAGUCGCAUUUCAUACUUGUGCUUUGUUGAAAUAUCACCUUGAACUAGAAAUUUCGUGUUAAUAAUCUGGUCUAUCAUCCAAUUUCGUUCUGAAUUAAUUCAUGCUGAAAGCUAUUUGUCUUACAUUUUUGUAACGUAUUCUACCAUUGUGAAAUCGUGUAAGAAGAAAAUUUUAGCAACUUACAUUUUUCUUGGAUUUCUUAGGUAUUGGUGUUGUUAUGGUCCUGAAGACUACAGGGAGAGCGAAUCUGGUAUUGGAGAAAACUCAAGCAUUAAACGUAAGGAAGUAGGCCUGGGAGACGACAUGUGAUGAAAGGAUGCCUUUGCCAUUUUAGGUUCGUUUUUCUAAUUAUUUUUUUGGCCUAUGAACGAUUUUAUUUCAUCCUCAACUUUUAUACAUAUUAGAAGGGUGAUUAAGGGCGUAAUGAACUUGUAAUUUGUGGUAAAUAUUAUAGGAUUAUUCUAUAUGUACAAAAUCAAUGACAAACUUGACAAGUGGUGGCCCCCUGUUGGUGGAGUGGUGGUGGGGCCAGCCGCCCCACUAACAGGGAGCCGCAACUUGUCAAGUUUGUCAAACUUUAGUAAUUGAUUUUGUACUUAUAGACUAAUCCAAUAUUAUAACACCUGAUUGUAGACCACAUUUGCAAGUACAAUGAAUAAAACAUUCUGGGAUGAGCUCUGAAGUGACUGAGAGCUUAGCAAUUCCAGAAGCUCGAGGGCCAAAAUUCUGGUGUAUUUGUCAUUUGGUACUAGCUAAUUGUCAUUUAUGCAGAACCUAGCAAGAAAGUGGGACAAAACUAGAAAUAAUAAUCCAAAGGCAAGACUUGCUAUUUACCUUCUGCUUUUCUUGAAAAUAGUGACUGACUGUAAUGCUAUUGGUAAAACUGCACAUUUUGUAAUUUUUUCCUCAAGUUUUUUCCUAUCUUUUUUUGAAAGUUGCCAAUUGGACGACCCAGGUAAUCUCGUAGCGGAAAAUAAGACUAAGAAAAGUAAAAGAAAAAUCCCUAAACAUAAAAGAAGGGAGUUAAUACUCCUUGCAUUUGCUUUAGCUUGCUGAUUUGGAAUCUUCACUAAUUUGCUUUCUUCCUUUUGACUUCUGCAAUAUGCUUUGUGAUCCCUGUUUGUAUUUGACUCUUCUCAGAAUCCUAUUACAGUUGCCUGGGUCAUUAGCUCUAGUUGACCUGGUCAAAGUAUUCACAAAUGGAUGUCAACUCUUGUUGAAAGAACCCAGAAAGGAACCAAGGUGGAAACCUUGUGGAUGAUCCUUCUGUUGAGGCUUCAGUUAUAAGGUAAGUUGCGCAGUUUGAUUCUCAGAUGUUAUAUUUCCCUAGUUGUGGAUUUGAAACUGGAAAAUUUCUGAUGCUUAUCACUUGUAGAGAAGCCUUCCAAUUCCACGUUUUAUUAUCCAUUUGGCAUGUGCGUCGUGGAUGGUUGAAAAGCAUUUUGAAAAAUUGCAGCAAUUUUGUUGUGCAGAGGGAGAUGUUUAAGCACGUAGGCAGGAUUUUGUACUGCUCGAAAAGUGGGCAAAAUGUGGUUGAUGCUGUUGAAGAGUUCGUGCAAAUAUAUGUCAAUCAAUAUGCAUUUGUAGAACAAUUUAGAAGCAAAUGGUUGCCAAAGACAGGUAUGGUCGGGUCUCAUAAGUUUUUUUAAUUUCUGGCGAGGAAACUUUGCGUUCUUUUUCUUGUUAAAAUUAUUGGCUGCUCAAGUUUAUAGGCCGGUUUUUCUUAGCCUCCUACAAAAUAUGCCAGAUGAUCCUCUAGUUCUUGAACAUGCCAUAUCACAUGUGAUAUGGUUACAACAGGACAUCAAAAGCUUGGAGGAAUUGUCAAAUACUGGAUUACUGCGGUCUUUAUCUUCUGAUACAAACUUCCAAAUGCCAGAUAAUCUCCAACCUUUUCGGCUUCAUUAAUCUGCACUCUCUGUCUGAAGUUGCAUCAUGAGGAUCCCCGAAAAUGUCAAUGUUGAAGCACAAUAUUUCGUGGGAGUAUUGCAUCGUAGGCCUUCAACCUAUUUCCUGAAUAUCAUUCUCAGCCAUUAAAGAGGAGUUAUGAGACCCCACGAGGGCAUGCAAUGAAGUAAUGAAUAUUUGAGUGGUUUUGAUUGCUGAGGACUGAUUGUGCAACUAUAAUGGAAGGUUGGCUACCAACUUGUUUGUUGGACUUGGAUCAGGGACCAACUUGCUACUUGGGUAAUGUUUGGGGACCAAUGGUGCAUUCAUCCCACAUUUAAUCUCUAGACUAGAUUUCAGAAGUGGUCAGAUUGGCAGAUUUCAGGCGCUCUUGUGAAUCUUGAAUUCUUUACAGUAGAGGUAUAUUUUCAGUUACCAUGCUGGCAGAUACUUCUAAUUGUUAUUUUUUGCAAUUAAUGUUGUUAACUAAUUAUUGGUGCUUCGAAGUUUUUCAAGCUUGUGCACAAAUUUUUUCAUGCAAUUUAUCUUAGUUUUGGAGAGCCUAUUAUUGGCUGCUCAAGUUUAUAGGCAGGUUUACAAGGUUGCAAUCUUCUGUAGAAGUCGUCAGGUAGCAAGGCCAUUGUUGGCUGCUCAAGGUUAUAGCCUUAUAGGCAAGUUUUGCUUAGCCUCCUAGAAAAUAUGCUGGAUGAUCCUCUACUUCUUGAACGUGCCAUAUCAUAUGUGACACAGUUAAAACAGGACAUCAAAAGCUUGGAGGUAUUGUCAAAUACUGGAUAACUGCAGCCAUUACCUUCUGAUACAAACUUCAAAGUGCCAGAUAACCUGCGCUCUCUGUCUGACCUUGCAUCACAAGGAUCCCUGAAAAUGUCCAUGUUUAAGCACAAUAUUUCUUGGGAGCAUUGCAUCGUCGGUGUCCAACCUAUUUCCUGAUAGAUAUCGUUCUCAGCCAUUAAAGAGGAGCAAGCUGGUUCUCAACCUUCCAUAUUGUUGCCGAAUGAGACCCCUCGCGAGGGCCAUGGUGAUGAUGUAAUAAAUAUUUGAACAGUUCUGAUUCUCGAGGACUGAUGACUUGGAUCGGGGACUGUAGAAAACAACAAACCAAAGAUGAAGAAUGGAGGAGAAAGAGAGAAAACCGAUUAAUAGAGAAAGAGAGAAAACCGAUUAAUAGCAGCCUCCAAAAUUGGUUGCAUAAUGUAAGAUUACAAUGGUUUAUAUAGUGCAAAACUAAGGAAACAUAAUAAGAUUAAACUACCCUUAACCUAUUAACUUAUUACUUUAACAUCCCCCUCAAACUCACGAUACUACGACAAGGAGCAACGAGAGUUUGACCAACAAAAAGCGUAAAUGAUAAAUCGAAUUUGACUUCAUGGCAAAGUCUACAAGCUGCAACGACGGAGAGCAACGAAAGGUAGGAAAAUGAUGCCGAACUGCAGAUAACUAAUGAAACCAUACAAUCUCAGCUAAACCCACUGCAGAUAACCAACGAAACCACACAAUCUCAACUAAACCAAACGGAUGCAAAUUUCAAAUUUCAAAUGAACUUGAUAUAUCAAUUCCAAGAACUGACUAUGCCAAAUUCCAAACUCCAGAUAGACUGGAAAAACGAAAUUUCUAAUCCCAUAAACUGGGCAAACAAACGAAAUUUUCAAAUCCCGUGAACCGGGCAUCAAACGAAAUUUUCAAUCCCCACAAAUUUCAAAUUCAAGCUCGACAAAUGCCAAAUUUCAGAUACACGAGAUCAACACCAAAACAAAUUUCCAAUGCAAACUAGGUCCAACAUUAAUUAACCGACCCAAUAAGCUGUCUAAUAGUACCAAAGCAGCCCAAAUCAAUCACAGAAACCAAAUUGCUGACCAAAGAAAUUUAACCCAAAAUUCAGCCCGUACAUAAUCAUCUUCCAUAAUGCCAUAAUGAGGAAAACUCCAAUUAAUCUGCUUUUUUUUUUUUUUUUUUAAGAGACUUCUCUAGCAGGCCUAAUUAAUUAGAGCCCAACCCUUUUUUUUCUCUCCCUUUUUUUUUUUUUAAACCCAAAUGCACAAAUUGAAAUCCCAAAAUACAAGGCCCAAAUCCAACAUUACCAAACUGCUGGCAAUCCACAGCCCACUACUUAGGCCCAAUUCAGCAGACCCAUCAAACAUUUCAAGCCCACUUACUCAAAAAUUAAAAUACCAGCCGAACUAAAAAAAAAACUAACCCAACAAGCCCAACACAACAAUUCCAAGCCAACUUGAACCAACUGGCCCAAUUUCAACAUACUAUAGGACCCAAAACCAAUCUACAGGCCAUAACCUACGAAAACAAACCUGGCCAAAUUUCCUCCAACUUCAUUUUCUCUAGGGCUGUGGCUACCUCUCGUCGACACCAACAAAAGUCAUAAUUCAGACAGAACACCAAUUUUUCUUCGAUUCGGACAGGCCACAGUUGCACCACGUUCCCAACUUUCAAGUCGUUCCUGUUCAGCAUAUCUAUCUAAUUUCCAGUCAGCAUGUAGGAUACGCUCUCCUUCCCAUUGCUUUUCUUCAUCGGCCAUCUCCUCAAAUCCACUUUGUCCCUUAUUAGCAAAGGAUCAAUAAUUGGUACAGAUAUGUGCUCCAGCUUGCCAUUGAAGCGUUUCAGAAGAUGGACUUUCUCUUCAUCCUUGAGAAACUCUCCUACAACUGAAUUUAGAGGAAUAGAAAGCCGGCUUUGUUGAGGUUCUGUAUCAGAUUUAUAGAGUCCCUUCUGUACCACCAAUAUCUCCUGUGAAAUACUUCUUCCAUUGGCCAGUUCUUGAAUUGCAUCCUUGAAUUCUUCAGGUAGCGAAGGGGGAGGAUCCGGUCCGGUGUUAAUUCUUUUCUUCACAACCCGAACUUCUUCUUCUCCUCCAUUGCUACGUCUUUUGGACUUAUUAUUUUGUUUCUACUUUUCACCCCAGAAGUUUCUGGGAUGUCAACUGUACUAUUAUCGAGAUUAUUCCUUCUAGCAAAAUCUUCUUCCAAAGUAAAGAAGAGAGAAAACCAAACCUGCAGCUUCUCCAUUUUUUUUUUCGCAGCCGCUAACAUAUCACAAAGUUUUGACCACCGGACGAGCGGCACAAGGCCGCUCGCCGGAGAAUGACAUCUUGCAAGUUUAAUCCAAAAUCAAACCCGCUCUGAUAUCAUAUAGAAAACAACAAACCAAAGAUGAAGAAUGGAGGAGAAAGAGAGAAAAUCGAUUGAUAACAGCCUCCAAACUUGGUUGCAUAAUGUAAGAUUACAAUGGUUUAUAUAGUGCAAAACUAAGGAAACAUAAUAAGACUAAACUACCCUUAACCUAAUUAACUUAUUACUUUAACACCAGCUUUCUACUUGGGCAAUAUUUUGGGUAUCAAUGGUUCAUUCUUCCGACAUUUACAGUAGAGGUAUGUUAUUUGUGUAGCUAAUGUUCUUAUCUAAUUAAUGGAGCUUUGAUAUUUUUCAAGCUUGCGCACAAACUUUCAUGUAAUUUAUCCUAGUUUUGAAGAGCAUAUUUUCGUGAAUAUUCCUUUAACUUGCUCAGGCUUGCCCCGUUAAUCACUACCAAUCUUUGUCACCCAAUUCCCCCAUCAGAGUGUACUUGUUGCGUAUAACUUAAAAGGUUUCAUGGAUUAUCUUCACUGCUUUUCGUAUGCUCUUAGAUUUCCUGUUGUACAAAACAUGUUCUUAGUCCUUGAAUGACAUCUGAGGCCUGAUCAGCAGUUUAAAUUUUGACUAAUUUUCUGAAGGUUCGAGAAUUGGAAAUAGUGGUCUGUGGAGUUGAAGAUAGUAGUGGAGGCAGCCAUGGCUACCUGUCAACGUAGUGAGUUGAUGGUGAUAUUGGUGGUAGGUAGUUCUACGCAGGGAAGUAGCGGUCGACUGUGAAAUUUGAUGGCUGAGUUGAAGAAAGUUAAGGGGGGUGGAGGCAGGGUUUGGGACAUGCUAAUGCACGGAGGUGAUGGUAGAUGAAGCGAUGGUUCUAAACAUGGAAACAAUGGCCUCUGCAAUUUGAUGGCAAGAGAUGAUGAAAGAUAAGUAGUGGAGUCGGAGUUGGCUUUCAGACGCGCGAUAAUGCAUGGAGGUGGAGGUCAAUUGCUAUAGAAAUGCAAUUAGCCAGUGACAGCACCACCACCAUCUUAGAAAUAAAACAUAAAAUAUAUUUUUUCCUAACCCACAUAACCAUCCAUCGCAGAUUCGCAGUAGAACCAACACAUGCAAUGGGCACCUCGCCAGCCCAUCUCCAUCCUUUUGCAAGAAUCAAAUCAUAACCCAGAUAAUAGAGAUUUGGUUCCAAGAAUCCGAAACCUUUUUAUGCGAUUUGAUUCUUGACACGAAUUGUGGAGGAUUUGUGAAUGUCCAGUUAUGGUGGUUGUUAUGCUACGAAGGGGGGGUGGUUUGGAGAAAAAUAUGGGACUGUUUGGGAGUGAUUUUGAGAAUUGAUAUUUUAACCGUUAGGAAAAAAAGUGAGCUCCACCUGUGAGAGAAGAAGUCAAAUAUGAUGGGGGCAGGGGUGGUUUGGAGAAAAAUAUGGGAUUAUUUGGGAGUGACUUUGAGAAUUGAUAUUUUGAUCGUUACGAAAAAAAUGGGGUCAAUCUGUGAGAGAAGAAGUCAAAUAUGAUGGGUAAAAUAGUGAAAUAACAGUCAAAAUUUUUUGGGCCAAAAAAUCACUCUCAAACAGGCCGUAUAUGUACAUAUUUCUUGGAUUAAUUUUUGUAAGGUGAUGGUGGUACCAUUGUCACCACCAAUAUGACUGCAUUUGUGGAGAUGAUAUUUGGCCGCUGAAGGGUGGGCGUGGGGUAGGCGAGUUUGGCGAUGGAGUCGAAAUAUUUACUUUUUAAGAUUCUUCAUUUUUAGGUGUUUAAUUAUUUCAAGUGUAAUUUAUUUGUAUUUUUGGAAAAUUAUGGGACUAUAUUUUCAAUUAUUCCUAAUUUUUGUUGUUUUAUUACUUUCUUUUAUUUCUGUUUAUUUAAAAAGGAGAUCAAGAAUGAUGAUUUUUUGAAAUGUUGGGACAGAUAAUGCGAAAGAAAAGAUCGAGGGUAUAUUUAUCAUAUUUUAUAAAUAUUGAGGACGAAAAGUGAAAAAUUUCCUUUAAACUUAUCCAUUUCAUCUCAAGUCUCAACUUUAUCUUCUCCAACAAUUUUCUCCCAUAAUCGGACACGUAAAAUUUUUUCUAAUCAAAUAAUAUUAAAAAAUCAAUUCAAUAAUUGUAGCAUCCUAUCCUACCAUACCCUAGGUUACAGAAAACGAUAUCACAUAAUGGAUAAACAUGAUUGGGUAUUAUUUUUAAAUCCGCGUCUUAAUCCGUACGCGUCAGCACCUGGUAUUGAUUCGGUGGGGCCGUCAUGACACGUGACAAAAUUUCCUUGCGGUAGCACGCGUCGUGCCAAGAACCAGUCGUUUGUUAAUUACUUCUUCCCGUUGAUUUUUAAAACCGACAUUUGACUUGAGAGAUAGGCUACGAUACGCAUGGUUCCACUCAAAUGAUUUCAUUCACACAAUUUAACCGGUGGGCAUUAUUUGGAAAAAGAAAUAUUUUAAAUAGUAAUUUUUAACAAAAUGUGUGAUUAAAAACUAGAAAAAUUUCAUGGUUACAUAUAUUAUUUAUUUGUAUAAAUGUAUGACGAAAAAUGAGUAUUUAGAAAAAAUAAUUUUCAAAUAAUGAUCAUCAGAGCUUACUUCCCAUUUCAUAAAAUAAUAAAUCGUCAAAAUUUAGUGCUUGUUCGAUAGGGAUUUUGAUAAUUGAUUUUUUAACCGUUAAUGAUAAAGUGAGUCCCACCUGUGAGAAGUAAAUACAAAAAUGACGACUGUAAUAGUGAAAUAACGAUCAAAAAAUUAAUUUUAAUUGACUUUUUAGUUGUACUAAACAAGCUCUUAAUUAUAACCACACUUCACGAUGAAUCCUUAAGUAUUAUUUAUCAUUUAUUUUUUAAUUUAUUAUUUUAUUUACAAAUUAAAUUAUUCAAACAUAUGAUUGAAAAUUAGCACUCUCAUUGUUGGCAAACACUCCAAUCAUCAGCCUAUGCAUGAUAAUCAUUCUUUGAGAAUUUUUUUGGGAAAAAAAUCAUAAAUCUGAUAUUAAGUAUGGAGAAUCCAAAAAUUAGGUUUUAAGUUUAUGAAAUACAAAAAUCAUGUUUAUUAGUUAAUUAAUUAAAAUAUUUAUAAAUUAAAUAUAAUAAAGUCACAGUUACACGAUUAAUGGUCACGAAUUCAUAAUUAUAGGUUGUAGAUUCAUUAACUGGUAACAUAUCGUUAAAUUAGUUGGUCACAAAUCAAAAAUUUUAUUGGUUACAGAUUAUUUUGAAAAUUAUUUCGAGGUCAUAUAUCAUUCAAAUUACAGGUCAAAUUUUUAUCUAUUGGUCACAGACGCCUAAAUGUUGGUCACAGACACCCCCACCCACCUACCACCACUGCAACAACAACUACCAACAUCAUCAACAACACAACAAUAAUUGGUCACCACCACCGUCAACAACUUCACAUGUACCUCCAACAAAUAUUGCCGUCAGAUCCACCAUCACCACUAAUAUCUGUACCUGUACAACCAACAAAAACUAUCUAAAACCCCCCAAUAACACUAAAACAACUCCCAAACCACCACAACACGACGCCACCAUUGCUGAAAGCCAUAGCAGGCCCAAACCACCACUACCACCACCACAAGCUUCGACACUGCCAUCACCGAAAAUCACAGUAGCCCCAAACCAGCUCUACCACUACCACAUCCCGAAGCCGACACUACUGAAAAUCACACCGGAGAUCAUAGCGACCAAGUUUUUAACACCACAAUGCUUACAUUCCUGACAAGCAGCCUCCACCACCACCACACCCCAACGUCUCCAUCUUCGAAAAUCACAGCAGUCCCAAACCACCACUAAUACCACCACUGAAAACCAGGCAGCUCUAAACCACUACUACCACCAUCACACCUCGACGCCGCCACACUAGUUGCUAUGGUGACCGCACUUGGGGAGAGAAAAAGGCAUCGCCGUUAGGUGGUAGUGACUGACAAGGAUACAGUGAAGUUAGAGAGAGACGAGAGAAGUGAGAGAAGGAAGAUGGAUUAAAAAUGAUUAGGGUUUGGGAGUUAAUUUGGAUAUUUAAUUAUUAUAUCAAUACCUGAUUUUUGCAUAAUAAAACUUGAUCCAUGAUUUUUGGAUUGUGAUCUUUAAAUCCCCGCUAUUAUGUAAUUUCCACAUUUUUUUCUACAUAUCAAUUUUCAAUCAUGUACUUACACAAUAAAAUAUUUUGUACGUAGAUUUAAUUUUUUUCUUAUUUUUUAAAUAUAUAUUUCUUAAAAAUGACUAUUCAAAAUAUUAUUUUGACCAAAUAAUAAUCAUCAAAUAGUGGCUUAAUAAAAAGAGUAUUGCUAUUUAACCUCACUGGGUGAUACAACGUGAUAUUAAUUGAUAGAUUCAUUUAAUUUCACAUUUCAUUUAAGCUAUUAUUUAAUUCCAUAUAAAUUUAAAAAAAAUUCUUAUUUUUUAAACAUAUAUUUCUUAAAAAUGACUAUUCAAAAUAUUAUUUUGACCAAAUAAUAAUCAUUAAACAGUGGCUUAAUAAAAAGAGUGUUGUUAUUUAGCCUCACUAGGUGAUACAACGUGACAUUAAUUGAUAAAUUCAUUUAAUUUCACAUUUCAUUUAAGCUAUCAUUUAAUUUCAUAUAAAUUGAUAUUGCAACCUCGGUGACACUACGUGUCUUUGCAAUGGUUUCAAAUAUUUCUAUCUUAAAAAAUAUUAAAUUAGUCACAUUUGUCAACCAAGCAAACUACAUCGUUAAUGUCUUCGACACGUAGUCAAUGAAUUGGAACCCUCCGGAAAAUUGCAUUUAUGGGUCUCCAUUGAAUUCAAAUUUUGUACGUUUUCUUUUUCAGCUGCCAGCUAUAUAAAGCCCUGUCUUCCAUUCCCACUCUCCAAAAUUCCUGAUUCGUAAUCUCUCUCUACAAAAAACGCGCACUCUCAUUUUAUAUAUAUCUAGAUACGCGCUUGUGUGUAUAUAUAGGUGUAUCGAUCUCUGUAGCAGUCUGUUACUGUGUAUACAAAUUUGCAGGGAGGAUCGACGCUAAAGAAAUUGAUCGGAGCUGUUCGGAUCGCGAUCAGGAGUGAAAGUUCGUUAUUCAGAUAAAUUUUGAUGUUAUUUUUCUGUCUUUCCUUGGUGUUGUUAUGACUUUGUGUUGACUUUGAAUUUUAAGGUAUGAAUUUUGAGGAAAUUUUAAAGAUUUGAGAGUUUUCGUGGACUAGAUGUGAAAAAAAAAAUGUGGAACUAAGUCUUCUUGGUUUACGAGAGAACAUCUGGGUAGAAUUGACGGGAGAUUCGAAUCUUCGCUUUAUGUGUAGUUAUCACUUGGAUUUCUUCUCUUAUCUGGUUUUCGGAUUUCUUCCGAAUCGAUCUGAAAAGAAGUUUUACUGUUUUUAAUUUUUUGAUAGAAUGGUAAUGGCUAUCAAACUGCAUCUCGCUUGGAUGUAACUGACUUCUCUCUCUCUCUCUCUCUGGGAGAGCUAUGCAUAAAUAAGUGUUUGUUUCAUGUUAUUGUAAAUCGAUCACAAGUACGUAAAUUUGGUAAAUUUCUGUCUAUGCAUGUAUCGCUGUUGAUUUGUAUGCCUGAUAUUUACGAAUAUCUGGUGUAUAUGUAAAUUUUCUCAUGAAAUGUUCAAAAUUGUUCGAUUCAGUCCCGAUGGAUGUCCCCCAACUCGAUCCUUAAUGAGGCUCGGCUUGUUGAAUUAGGAUCCGUGUGUCCUUGACUUGUCCUCUUGUUGAUCAAGUUUUUUUAUUAGCUUUGGUUAAUUGAUGGUUCUUGUGUGUUUUUGCUUUUACUGACUUGUCCUCUUGUUGAUCAAGUUUUUUUAUUAGCUUUGGUUAAUUGAUGGUUCUUGUGUGUUUUUGCUUUUACUAUACGGUUAAAAGAAUCCAAGGUGCUUAAGGAUGGAAACUUUCCUAGAUACAAUUAGUCACGCGAUAUUGCAGGAGCAAUAUGUUUAGAAUCGAGUAUGAUGCAUUUAUCACUUGUCCAAGAUAAUUUUUGUGAUUAUGGGGAUGAAAAUACAUCUUCCUGUCGCAUUUUCUCCUAAUCUAUUGAUAUUCUAACCAACUAAUUUCUUGCCAUUUAGUUAACUCUAUGAUCGAGUUUAUUGUGGAAAUGACAAAUCAGGUUUAUCGUCCAAGUGUCAGUUGCUGGUGGAUCUUUACAGUGUUGGAUCCACAUAGGAUUGUUUGUAAAUCUUUUCGACCUUGGUUCCGUAGGAGCAAGUUAGAAAGAUUGAGAGAUAGAACCAUCCGAUUUAAUUCGUUCUCAAUAGUCAUGAAAUGAUCAUCUGCUUUAGGAUGGAAGCUUUCCUAGAUACAAUUCGUCAUUCAAUAUUGCAGGAACAAUAUGUUUAGAAUUGAGUCAAUUGACUGAUGAUGCAUUUAUCACUUGUCCCAGGAUUUUUGUUGUGAUUAUAGGGAUGACAAUAUAUUUUCCUGUCGCAUUUUCUCCUAAUCUAUUGAUAUUCUAACCAAUUAAUUUCUUGCCAUUUAGUUAACUCUAUGUUCAAGUUUAUUGUGGAAAUGACAAAUCAGGUUUAUCGUCCAACUAUCAGUUGCUGGUGGAUCUUUACUCAGUAUAGGAUCCACAUAGGAUUGUUUGAAGCAAGAACUUUGAUUGUAAUUACUCUUUUUGACAUACUUUAGGUCACUGAUGAGAAUUGAUGUACGUUAAGUGGCCAAUGCUUCUAUCUAUAUUGUUAUUCUAUAGAUAAAACAGACCAUUUGCGAACUUAGAGAUUGUUCGUUGGAUAUUGGAUUUGCAAUCAAAUUAAGAUGAACUUCGACGCCCACUAUGUUUUAACAGGCUUGACGUGCCAUAUUCUUUUGUUUUAGUUCCUGCCAUCCACUAAUUAAGACAACUCAGCUUAUUUCAGGAAGAAUUAAUCAUUAUUGCUGCUUAUAUUUUUAGAACUAUUCUUUCAUUACAACCAGCCAAAUCUAAGUGUUACCUGACCCUACAUAAUGUGGCCGAAUUGGUUUCCUACUUAUAAUGGAGUAAGUGGUGAUGAGCUCUUGAAGUAAGGGUCUAGUUGUCUGGAAGAGGUAGAGAGAUCCUUGGUUGCAUAAGGCUCUCAUUGCUGGACGAGCUUGCAAUGUUACAAUAUCAUCAGCUAGAUUAGACAGUAAUAAUAACAGAAACAGUAGACAUGCUAGUUUUGAGAUUCGUGGAAGACACUAAGAGAAUAAAUUAACAUGGUAGUAGAUAGGGGAGAAGUCUCUCCACCUCAAAUUAGAGGCCUUUUUUCGUCAUUCCCUUCUUUUUCUUCUUUCCCCAUUUUAGUGUAAGUUUUUCCUCAAAGAAGACAUUGCGGAAUCAUGGAUUGAGGUAGGCCUCUUCUCAACGAACAAGGAACGUAACUGGUCCUACAAACUCACAAACUCCUUUUUGUUCUGUCUUAAGAAUGCAGUUGAUACAUUUAUCUAUUUGCUUUGACCAUAGGUUGAGCUGUCCAUGCUUAGAUGGAUUUGGACUCCAAGAAUCAAGUGUUGUGCAAUGGUUACUAUCCACUGUUGGAAGCUUUGGAAUUGUUGUAGAUCUACUUGUUUUGAUGAAUUCUCCUACUUGGAGUUUCCUGGCUGGAGCAGUUCAACCUUUGUUGGAUUUUGUUGUUGCUGAUUCAAUUGGUCUGCCGCGACAUGCAAGAAAGGCGUGGCGACCUGAAUAGAUAUGCAUGAACAGGCUUAAACAUCUCCUAAGUUAAUUUUUGAAUGCAGGUGC
rnacentral:lncRNA from 1 species